ACUGGAUGGGCUGACGGACCUGCCUAUAUCACUCAGUGUCCAAUUCAGACAGGACAAUCCUAUGUAUACAACUUCACCAUCACUGGCCAAAGAGGGACCUUAUUUUGGCAUGCUCACAUCUCUUGGCUAAGAGCUACUCUUUAUGGACCUAUUGUCAUCCUCCCAAAACGACAUGCCUCUUACCCAUUUCCCCAACCCUUCAAAGAAGUUCCCAUCAUUUUUGGUAAUUGACACAACUUCUCACAUCAGGCAUUGGAAGAAGAAUAAUUUUGCAUCUUGAAUUAAUUUUGAGGUUUGCCUGGAAUUGCAGGAGAGUGGUGGAAAGCAGAUACAGAGACUAUUAUCAACCAGGCCAUGGCAACUGGAGGGGCACCGAAUAUCUCAGAUGCUUUCACCAUUAAUGGUCUCCCAGGUCCCUCUUACAACUGCUCAGCCAAAGGUACUACAUUAUAUUCAAUGUUACUAAAGCAAACCAAUAUUUUGUCAAUUUCCAUCCGAAAGGUUCAAGUUCAGGGACACACUAAUAACAAGAAAACUAAAUUUUAUGCAGAAACAUUCAAGCUUAAGGUGAAGCCAGGUAAAACCUAUCUUCUGCGCCUGAUCAACGCUGCACUCAACGAUGAGCUCUUUUUCAGAAUUGCAAACCACACCGUCACUGUUGUAGAAGCCGAUGCAGUCUAUGUCAAACCUUUCAAAACAGAUGUUCUUCUUAUCACUCCAGGGCAGACCACUAAUGUCCUUCUCAAGGCCAAAUCCAAGACCCCCGGCGCCAACUUUGCUCUGUCGGCCAGGCCUUAUGCCACUGGCCCUGCCACUUUUGACAAUACCACGACAAUCGGAAUUCUAGAGUAUGAGAAAUCUGCCUCUGCCUCAAACUCUAAUAACAAGAAACUCCCACUUCUAAAAGCAAAACUUCCACAGUUUAAUGACUCCACCUAUGCUAUGAAAUUCAACCAGAAAAUCCGUAGCCUCGCCACAGCUAAAUUCCCUGCUAAAGUCCCAAAAAAUGUUGAUAGGCGCUUCUUCUUCACGGUCGGACUAGGGAUACUCCCAUGCUCACAAAACCAAACUUGCCAAGGUCCCAACAACACUAGGCCAGCUGCUGCAGUUAACAAUGUUUCAUUUGUGCAACCAAAUAUUGCUCUUCUCCAGGCUUACUUCUUUAACCGAUCGAAAGGAGUAUACACCACCAAUUUCCCAGCGAACCCACCAGUCAAGUUUAAUUACACAGGCACACCACCUAAAAACAUAAUGUUGGACAGUGGCACCAAGGUGGUGGUGCUACCUUUUAACACUAGCGUGGAGUUGGUGAUGCAGGAUACUAGCAUCCUUGGUGCAGAAAGCCACCCUUUACAUCUUCACGGGUUCAAUUUCUUCGUGUUGGGUCAAGGUGUUGGCAACUUUGACCCCAAGAAGGACCCUGCCAAGUUCAAUCUUCGAGACCCUGCAGAGAGGAACACGGUGGGCGUGCCAUCUGGUGGGUGGGUCGCCAUUCGUUUCCUUGCAGACAAUCCUGGUGAGUUGCAUAAUUACAUUAACUCGAAUGUAAUUUACUUAUCAGAUAUGCAUAUGGACGAUGAAAUUACACUACAAAAUUUUGGUCAGAGUAGGAAGAUAUUAGUGCAUGUAUCAGAUUAGAUAGAUGCAAGGUUGUGAUCAAUCCUGACCCUGUUAGAACUGUAAAGGGCAAAAACAAAAAGAAAAGCUUGUGACAUAAAAUAGACAUUUUUCAAAAUCAACCAAAUUUGGCUGGUAACUUGGCAGAUCAUUUUACUUGGAUAAAUCAAACAGAGUUAUCGAUUUAGGUAAAUAUUCUUUCACCAUUAAUCAAAUCAAAUGUAGUUGUCUGUUUCUUUCGAUUAACUUUUGAUUGUGCAUGAAUAGGUGUCUGGUUUAUGCACUGCCAUCUGGAAGUACACACUAGCUGGGGCUUGAAGAUGGCAUGGGUUGUCAACGAUGGAAACGGCCGCAAACAGAAGCUGCUACCUCCGCCUGCCGAUCUUCCUAAAUGCUGAAAUUCGAUUGUUGCUCUCUUUCCCUUCCCUUUUUUUUUUAUACUAAUACAAUUUUACGGUAUUCGUUUUAUUCUUUUAUUUCCUAUUCUUAUGUAUGCUAGGAGAAAAGGCUGUUGGCUCUAUAGCUUAAGCUUGUAUUUGGUUCUGCUAUUACUCCAGCACCAACACCAGAAAAAGAACUGGUGUGGCUUUUUGUAUAGGUUAUCAUCAGGCUAUCUACCACCGUAAGAACUAUUGUUAUGUGACAGAAUCUACAUAAACAGAUCUCUACAAAUACAAUUUUCCUGUUCUCUCUGCUUCAUCCAGACUCCAUCCUGAAUCUUAUCAAGUUUUGCAGCUACUUAGCUCAAGUUGCUUCAAUGAAAAGAGAUGCAAUUUAUAUCCAUGUGAUCAUAAUUAUAUGGUUAUGGUGGAUCAUUAUUAUAUCCAUCCAAGCUAAACCAGUUCGUUUCAGAUGAAAUAUAACUAAUUGUAAACAAUUAACCCUCCAGUCAAAAACUUUCUUUUUUUGCCCAAAGCACUCAUUUAUUUUGUGAGUGAACAACACAGACUACUAGGAUUUAUUGGAUAUUUUCAGUAAUAAUAAUAAUAAUAAUAAUAAUAAUUGUAGGACACAAUGUCAUAUUAGAAAUAAAGAAAAAUGAAUUAUUUAAUUAAAGAAGAGAAUAAGUCUAUAAUAAUUAGACCAAAGUAGGUUAAAGUGCAAAUAAGUCAUGGAUGGGCUUUCUGAGUUUUAAUUGAUCUUGAAAUUAAUUAAAUUAAUAAUAUAUAAUUAAUAUAUUAUAAAGGUACUUGCCACUUGCAGGUAAAGAUAAAGAUAAAGAUAAUUAAAUAAUAAAUUAUAUUUAUUUUUAAUUACUAUUAUAAGUAUCUAUUGAAAAUAUACUAUUGUGAUUUUUGAAAACUAACAGUUGUAUUUGUUGGGAAUAGUCAUUUAUAUCUAUAAACACACUUUUAUCUGGUUCUAAAAGACACAUAAAAAAAAUCUCUCAUUUCUUUUUUAAUAUUCUCUAAAUUUCCUUUAUAUCAUUUUUUCCUUAAAACUAGUGACAUCGAUAUACGUUUUAAAGCCAAUUCAUUAUUUUCCAAUUUUGUAUUCUAAAAGAUUGAUCUAAAUUCUGGAGGAAUUGUUCUAUUUAGCCUCGCUUAUAGGAACAAAAUGCCCAUAUACACAUAAGAAUAAUAAUACUCUUUCAGCUGAAGAUACCAAGCAUCUAGGGUGAAUAUUAGGUUAAUUGGAUUGUAAAAUUUUGAAAAUUGAGUAAAUUAAAUUUUCAUAAAUAAUAACUGAAAAUCGAUCAAAUUAUAUUUUGAAAAAUAAUCAAAAUCAAUUUAUCUCGAUCGGUUCAAUAAAUGUUACCAUUUUUAAGUAUUUUUUUUCAACAAUUUCAACAAUAUUUUCAAUAACACUUUCAACAACAUUUUUAAUAAAGAUAAGCAAAAUUAUUUCUCUCCACAUUCUAAUCAAGAUAAAUUGGACCUUACAUCAAGAAAUAAAUAAAUCCAACAUAAUAUUUUUUACUUGACAAGUCAACUUAACAUUAAUCAAUUUUUCGAUUCGUUCAGAUUCUAAAUUUUAAAUACAAAAAAUUAAUUGAAAUACUCAAAUAACUUUUGUUGGGAAAAAAAAGGAAAGAAUAAAAAAAAGAAAAGAAAAUUAUUUUUUCUUCACUAAUGUUUUUCUCUAAAUUUAGAAGGUAGAAUGUAAAAAUAUAUUAAUUUUCUUCUGUUUCUUACCCAACAAUAGAAAAUAACCAAUUUUCAAAGGCCUGGCAAAACCAUUCCCAUGCAAUAUGUAGCACUCUAUGGAUAAUUACAGACUGCCAACAGCAAAAGCAAAAGCAGAGGCGAUUCCUACUUGGACCAACCAUUGUAAACACUUUACUUUGGUCUCAUCCAUGCGCAUUCCUAACAUGUUCGAGUUAGUGUAGGCAAGGCCAAAACAAGAGCUAGAUUUAGAUCUAUUGAGACAAGGGUGGUGCAAGAUAUGUUGCAGUAAGGUACCUAUCAGAAGCUGUUAAGGAACUUGGAGAUGUACAGUUAGGAACAACCGACAGCUAACCAGAUGGUUUAAGCACAUUCUCUUUUGGCUUGAUUAGUACGUAUUAAACGGUAGGAGGUUGAAGGCUACCCAGCACCCAUGCCCACAUUACCCCCCUUUUCUAAUAAAUGGAUUCAUCAAUCCUUUUCCAACCUUCCUUUUGAAGUAUAGAAUAAUUUGGAUUUUAGUCCUACUGGAACCAUAAAACUUUGUUUUAAAAACUAAUUACCUCACUUCAAAGACAAUUAUAUCCUCAGAUAUUUCCUCAUGUCCUAGGCCAAAGAAUUGAAAAUGAAUAAAAAUGGUUCAUUCCAGUCCUUAAUUAGAAAUUUAGAAUCAGUCAGUGGGUUUUGAAAGAUUUUCUGAUCAGAGAAAGAACAGCUAAUGAUGGAAAUGGACCAAUUCUUGAUUGACUGUAACAUAAACCAUUGUUUAUAUGUCUUCAUCAGGCUCAUGUCAUCUUUAAACUUCAUUAAUUUAGGGUACCUUGGAACUUUAAGAUGAGGAAUUUAUAGUUCAAAUUAGAUUUCCGUUAUGAAAAACUAGUCUGUCUUGGACAUCACUCUAAAGGGAUUCACCAGCAGCUACUCGGACCAAAUAUGCAAGUUUCUGCUGAAGACACAGCUUGUCGACAGUGAAACAGGGAUUAUCUGAAUUUUUACUCACCUAAUUAACAAACCAAUCAGUCCUUCUCCCACUAUAUAAACUGCCUCACUUGUUCCUUGUCUCAUCAUCCAAACAAGUUAUAUCCCACUUUGACCAUCCUUGUCAUUUUUGAUAGAUAAUCACAACAAAAUAUUACUAAAAGAAAACAGAAAAGAGACAUGAGUUCUGUUCUUCUUACAUCAUCAGCCUUUAUCAGGGUUUUUCUCCUAGCGUUAUGUGCUGUCUCGUUACUACCUGAUUUGGCAGUUGCAAAGCAUGCAGGCAUUACCAGGCACUACAAUUUUGAUGUAAGUUUUAAUUUCCCAUUUCUUAGGCUCUUUUAGUGUGUUUUUAAGUGUGGCUGUAGCUGAGGCUAACAUUUCCACCGCCAUUCUUCUUUCUUUUUCUUGUUAAUCUCGUAAAGAUUAGGAUGCAAAAUGUGACAAGGUUGUGCCAAACAAAGAGCAUUGUGACGGUCAAUGGCCAGUUCCCAGGGCCUCGGAUUAUAGCUAGGGAAGGCGAUCGCCUUCUCAUCAAGGUGGUUAACCAUGUUCAAUACAAUGUCACUCUUCAUUGGUAUGGGAUUUCACUUCCUACUGCUUUCUCUCUUUUAUUAAUGGUUAGCAUUUUAUUUUAAAGUUGAUCAAAUGUUGGCUUUCACUUGGGAACUAGGCAUGGAAUCCGACAGCUAAGGACUGGAUGGGCUGAUGGACCUGCCUAUAUAACUCAGUGUCCAAUUCAGACAGGACAAUCCUAUGUAUACAACUUCACCAUCACUGGCCAAAGAGGGACCUUAUUUUGGCAUGCUCACAUCUCUUGGCUAAGAGCUACUCUUUAUGGACCUAUUGUCAUCCUCCCAAAACGACAUGCCUCUUACCCAUUUCCCCAACCAUUCAAGGAAGUUCCCAU
rnacentral:lncRNA from 1 species